GGUGAACGCUGGCGGUAGGCCUAACACAUGCAAGUCGAACGGCAGCACAGUAAGAGCUUGCUCUUACGGGUGGCGAGUGGCGGACGGGUGAGGAAUACAUCGGAAUCUACUUUUUCGUGGGGGAUAACGUAGGGAAACUUACGCUAAUACCGCAUACGACUUACGGGUGAAAGCAGGGGAUCUUCGGACCUUGCGCGAUUGAAUGAGCCGAUGUCGGAUUAGCUAGUUGGCGGGGUAAAGGCCCACCAAGGCGACGAUCCGUAGCUGGUCUGAGAGGAUGAUUAGCCACACUGGAACUGAGACACGGUCCAGACUCCUACGGGAGGCAGCAGUGGGGAAUAUUGGACAAUGGGCGCAAGCCUGAUCCAGCCAUACCGCGUGGGUGAAGAAGGCCUUCGGGUUGUAAAGCCCUUUUGUUGGGAAAGAAAAGCAGCAGGUUAAUACCCCGCUGUUCUGACGGUACCCAAAGAAUAAGCACCGGCUAACUUCGUG
rnacentral:rRNA from 1 species